rnacentral:rRNA from 1 species
CCCCUAGAUGUUCUGGGCCGCACGCGCGCUACACUGAACAGUUCAACAAGUCUUAACCUUGGCCGAUAGGUCUGGGUAAUCUUUGAACGCUGUUCGUGAUUGGGAUAGACCUUUGCAAUUAUGGGUCUUCAACGAGGAAUUCCUAGUAAACGCAAGUCAUCAGCUUGCAUUGAUUACGUCCCUGCCCUUUGUACACACCGCCCGUCGCACCUACCAAUUGAAUGGUCCGGUGAAAUCUCGGGACGGCGGCUCGGUCGCUUGCGUCCGACUGCUGAAACUUGAUUAAACCAUAUCAUUUAGAGGAAGGUGAAGUCGUAACA